rnacentral:pre_miRNA from 1 species
AGAACUGGCCAAGACCUGGUCCUAGCAGAUUGAGGAGAGCACCUCAGUGGUUAUCUCACAGUCUGCUGAGGCUGGAGCUGCUAAUAUGCUCAC